ACGUUAGCGACAGAAGAAGCACCGGCUAACUCCGUGCCAGCAGCCGCGGUAAUACGGAGGGUGCGAGCGUUAAUCGGAAUUACUGGGCGUAAAGCGCAUGCAGGUGGUUUGUUAAGUCAGAUGUGAAAGCCCGGGGCUCAACCUCGGAAUUGCAUUUGAAACUGGCAGACUAGAGUACUGUAGAGGGGGGUAGAAUUUCAGGUGUAGCGGUGAAAUGCGUAGAGAUCUGAAGGAAUACCGGUGGCGAAGGCGGCCCCCUGGACAGAUACUGACACUCAGAUGCGAAAGCGUGGGGAGCAAACAGGAUUAGAUACCCUGGUAGUCCACGCCGUAAACGAUGUCUACUUGGAGGUUGUGGCCUUGAGCCGUGGCUUUCGGAGCUAACGCGUUAAGUAGACCGCCUGGGGAGUACGGUCGCAAGAUUAAAACUCAAAUGAAUUGACGGGGGCCCGCACAAGCGGUGGAGCAUGUGGUUUAAUUCGAUGCAACGCGAAGAACCUUACCUACUCUUGACAUCCAGAGAACUUUCCAGAGAUGGAUUGGUGCCUUCGGGAACUCUGAGACAGGUGCUGCAUGGCUGUCGUCAGCUCGUGUUGUGAAAUGUUGGGUUAAGUCCCGCAACGAGCGCAACCCUUAUCCUUGUUUGCCAGCGAGUAAUGUCGGGAACUCCAGGGAGACUGCCGGUGAUAAACCGGAGGAAGGUGGGGACGACGUCAAGUCAUCAUGGCCCUUACGAGUAGGGCUACACACGUGCUACAAUGGCGCAUACAGAGGGCAGCCAACUUGCGAAAGUGAGCGAAUCCCAAAAAGUGCGUCGUAGUCCGGAUUGGAGUCUGCAACUCGACUCCAUGAAGUCGGAAUCGCUAGUAAUCGUGGAUCAGAAUGCCACGGUGAAUACGUUCCCGGGCCUUGUACACACCGCCCGUCACACCAUGGGAGUGGGCUGCAAAAGAAGUAGGUAGUUUAACCUUCGGGGGGACGCUUACCACUUUGUGGUUCAUGACUGGGGUGAAGUCGUAACAAGGUAGCGCUAGGGGAACCUGGCGCUGGAUCACCUCCUUA
rnacentral:rRNA from 1 species